UGCACCUGAGCCCCUUCCACAGCACAUGGUGCUCCCGGCUGUGGCAGUGGCAGGGCUGUGGAGAGCGACACUGAUCCCCCAGCCCGCCGGUCAUCGCAGCGGGCUCACUCCGAAUCCGCCUGCUGGCUCUGGGGACACGGCCUGGGCCCAGCUCCAGGACGGUGACCAUCUGUCAUCCCUGCUCCAGAGAAGAGGUGAGAGGGACAACACUCAGGCAGGGGACGAAAUGGAGAGAAGUAACUAAGCCACCAAUGGCCUGUGUCCCGGAGCCACCUGCUGCCACACACGUGCGCACACACAAGCACACGCAGUGCUCACAGAUCUACACACUUGCACACGUAUACAUGCAACACACGGGUACACAUACAUCUAUACGCGAGCGGAGGCAUGCGUUCACAUACACAUACAAGUGCACUCACAUCUACACAUGUGUGCGAACACAUGCAACACACGUGUGCAAACAUCUACACGUGUGGACGCUCAUUCAGAUACAUAUGUGAGAACAUAGGUGCACAUGUGCAUACACAUAUGCACGGGCAUAUUCCAAUACACACGUGAGAAAACAUACACACACACAGGUGCACACACAAUCCACACGGAUGUAGACACAGGUGUACACAUACGCAUGUGCUUCCGGUUUCCUCUGUUCCCCGGGGCUGCAGUCGUGGCCUCAGGUGACAGAGUGUCGUGGGGCCUGGUCCCUGCCCUUCAGCCCAGGCACUCCUGGGUGAGACGGUUUUAUUCCUCUCCCUGAAGCCAGGGAGACCGCAAGUGCCCUGCCACACCCAUCCUGAGGCCAGCACCCUAUGCAGCACCCCGUGGGGAGUGGGAGCCUCCCCAGUCCCACCCUUGACCACCGCUGUCCCCUGGCUGGCCAAGCAGGCUCACAGUCAGGGCUCAGGGAAGUGUGGGACAGCAAUGGGGAGCCAUGUGUCCAGAGCAGCCCGAAACUCGUGCACUGUCUCUGGGCUCCUUAGUCACUGUUAGUCCCACAGCACUUGAGGUCCCUACCCUUGUGGGACUCAAGUCUGGUGGGAGAAGACACCCAGACCAUUCCAGAUUGUCUAGGUGGGCAGUGUCCUCUAUGCAGAAAAGAGGCUGCCAUACCAUGAGCCGGGGAAGAAUACUACAGGCAGGGAGACGGCAGAUGCAAAGGCCCUGGGAUACAGAACAGUCUGGCUUGCUCUUGAGAAAAGGGAGGCAAACCAGAAGGUCUGCAAGAAGCCUAAGCCAAGGAACAGCACAGAUGAGAUGCACAAGCUUCUGUGAAAUUCACUGCCAAGGCCUCACACCUAGAAAAUCAUGACCAGGACAAUGGCCUGACCUGGAGCCCCCCACGACGUGUGUCUCCCCUCUGUUCCCCAUGACAUGUGUCUCCUGUGCUACCUACAACCUAUUUGCUCUGAACUUCGCAGAGACAAACUACAUUGGCCACAUCUGCCCUCCCUCCCAGACCCUCAAACCCUCCCCUGGCUCUAGUUCUGUACCCCAAACUCGUGGCUGAGCUCCCCCCACCCCGCCACCCAGUUACCUUCAUCCUCACUGCUGCAUGCUCAGCCAGUAGAUCACCAGAGUCUGGGAGCAGACUCUUCACCGGCUAAGCUAAUGGACUGUCACACGGAUCAGCCUGAGGUUUGGAGCCAAGACGAAGUAGGAAGUAGUGGGGGCACUUGCUUCUGGAGGAAGGGUUUCAAAUCCUGGAGGAGCAUCCAUUAGGCAGCAGGGUGUCUGUGAGGUCCCCUUGCUUAAGGCUGUGGAGCCACCUGGCCAGUACCCCACCCAGGCACUGAGGUCCCUGGGCCUCAGACCUCCGCCAGCUGCCCAGGCUUCCUGUGUCAGGUCUGGGAAGAGGAACAGUAUGUGUGACGCAGCCAGACCCAGAUGGAAGAAGGAAACAGAGUGAUGCAGAAUCAGUGGACAAGUUUAUUCCACUAACUCCUAAGUCUGAAAAUAGAUGAGGAGACAGAUUAAAGGCCCAUGCUGGCACCAGGAGAGGAGCUGUAUUUGAGGCUGAGAAUGUGCCCAGCAGAGGAGGAACCUGCCACCCAGAAGGAUGCCAGGCUACACCUACAGAAGAGACAGUGGGUGAGGAAAUCACUGUUUGUCACCCUGAGUGAUCCAGUCACUUCCACCAAUGGGCACUGGUGACAGACCGGCAAGGAUGGAUGUUCACCCAAAUGCCAGUGUCAUAUGCCAGUGUCCCCAUAGAUUCUUUGAUGAUCCCCAAUGGGGGUGGUCACAGCUGUAAUGUGGGGAGGACCAAUGACCAAUCCUGGAGUCCCCAAGAAUCAUGCUGUGCUUUCUGGUGGCCUCUAAGACAUUCUGGCCCAAAAGUCUAACCCGGGUCUAAUCAGACCUGUUUUUGAUGUCACGAGCCCUUCCCAUGCCAUCCCAAGCAAUACCGUACACAAAGGCAAGAGGAAACAGAUCAGAGGCUUUGCUGCUCCCUGCACCACCCGGCCCAGCCCCUUCCAUAGUCAAGGUCAUAAAAACAAAAGGUCGGUGGGUUGUCUCAGUCCGUUUGGUGUUGCUGUAGCAAAACGCUGAGGCUGGGUAAUUUACAAAGCCGUUUACUUGGCUUAUGGUUCUGCUGUCUGAAGAGUCUGAAGAAGGUGGCAGUGGCAUCCUGACAAGAGGCCCUGGCUUCGUCACAGUACCGAGGAGAAUCAGAGGGGGAACCAGCCGUGCCCAGAAGGGGCCAAGCAUGUGGGUGGCCAAUCGAGCACAGACUCAGUGGGUGACCAGCCUGAGUCCUUUCCAGGGACAGUGCCCAGGAUCUGAUCACCUCAACUAGGCCCAAGCUCUGAGGUCUCACAACACUGGGGACCAAGUCCAGCUCUGGAGCCCUGGGAGAUGCUCAGACGCCUCCAAACCACACAACGGGCCUCCUUCUAGAUGUGAGGUCACACAAGAGGUGCGUGACCACCUCGUGCACACAGAUCCUGCUUUGGAUGAGGCAGUAGAAAAGGACACGUGGGGACAACGGGCACAUGUGAAUACAGAUGGCUACUCAGCAGCACUAGGGAAGUCUUGUUACUGUUGUUAGCUGUGGCAAUGUUAUCACAAUUAAGUAAGAAAAUGCCAUUAAGGAAAAAACCAAGAAUAUUUGGGGGAAGAUGUCACAG